CUGAAAGGUUUAUAUAAACACACAAUCACUCAAACGGACUUUCAAACAUGAGCCUGCCAAGAAACACCACACACUGCAUCACAGCAAUGACAUUUAUAACCUCUCACUUUCACCAGAAAUCUACUAGCAACUUCUUGUUCAACAAUAAACACAGCCUGGCGCUCGUAACAUCCCAGUUCACUGAACCAACAGAGUACCUCAAAUAACAUUUAUUAACUAACAAUUGCAAUGAUCAAUUCCCUUCUCAUGCUCUCAGCGGAACGCCGAAGCUCCUCCUCUGACCUUCACCUGUAACCAUGGCCACAAGAAGAGGAAGCAGCAUUUAUUUGUGCUCUAUGAGAUCUGCUAUCUUUCACAAAGGUCUUAAGAUCCCUGCUCCGGGAUCGAAACAAUGGAGGUCGGACUGUGACAGCUGAUUUAGGCGGGUCUGAGGUUUCUGGCCCACAGAGACAAAAGGUUUCAUGUAUAACCGUGGACAAGAGCUUUAGAGUGAAGGACUCACUGGCAAUCAACAAACAGCAAAGAAUUCUUGGCUCUCUUUUCAAUCACUCCUUUGGAAACAUGUGUGAGCCAAAUGUUGAAUAUAAACU